AGAGUUUGAUCCUGGCUCAGGAUGAACGCUGGCGGCGUGCCUAAUACAUGCAAGUCGAACGCUUCACUUCGGUGAAGAGUGGCGAACGGGUGAGUAAUACAUAAGUAACCUGGCAUCUACAGGGGGAUAACUGAUGGAAACGUCAGCUAAGACCGCAUAGGUGUAGAGAUCGCAUGAACUCUAUAUGAAAAGUGCUACGGGACUGGUAGAUGAUGGACUUAUGGCGCAUUAGCUGGUUGGUAGGGUAACGGCCUACCAAGGCGACGAUGCGUAGCCGACCUGAGAGGGUGAUCGGCCACACUGGGACUGAGACACGGCCCAGACUCCUACGGGAGGCAGCAGUAGGGAAUCUUCGGCAAUGGGGGCAACCCUGACCGAGCAACGCCGCGUGAGUGAAGAAGGUUUUCGGAUCGUAAAGCUCUGUUGUAAGUCAAGAACGAGUGUGAGAGUGGAAAGUUCACACUGUGACGGUAGCUUACCAGAAAGGGACGGCUAACUACGUGCCAGCAGCCGCGGUAAUACGUAGGUCCCGAGCGUUGUCCGGAUUUAUUGGGCGUAAAGCGAGCGCAGGCGGUUUGAUAAGUCUGAAGUUAAAGGCUGUGGCUCAACCAUAGUUCGCUUUGGAAACUGUCAAACUUGAGUGCAGAAGGGGAGAGUGGAAUUCCAUGUGUAGCGGUGAAAUGCGUAGAUAUAUGGAGGAACACCGGUGGCGAAAGCGGCUCUCUGGUCUGUAACUGACGCUGAGGCUCGAAAGCGUGGGGAGCGAACAGGAUUAGAUACCCUGGUAGUCCACGCCGUAAACGAUGAGUGCUAGGUGUUGGAUCCUUUCCGGGAUUCAGUGCCGCAGCUAACGCAUUAAGCACUCCGCCUGGGGAGUACGACCGCAAGGUUGAAACUCAAAGGAAUUGACGGGGGCCCGCACAAGCGGUGGAGCAUGUGGUUUAAUUCGAAGCAACGCGAAGAACCUUACCAAGUCUUGACAUCCCACUGACCGGACAGUAAUGUGUCCUUUCCUUCGGGACAGUGGUGACAGGUGGUGCAUGGUUGUCGUCAGCUCGUGUCGUGAGAUGUUGGGUUAAGUCCCGCAACGAGCGCAACCCUUGUGAUAUGUUACUAACAUUGAGUUGAGGACUCAUAUCAGACUGCCGGUGAUAAACCGGAGGAAGGUGGGGAUGACGUCAAAUCAUCAUGCCCCUUAUGGCCUGGGCUACACACGUACUACAAUGGCGUCUACAAAGAGCGGCAAGCCUGUGAAGGCAAGCGAAUCUCAUAAAGGACGUCUCAGUUCGGAUUGAAGUCUGCAACCCGACUUCAUGAAGCUGGAAUCGCUAGUAAUCGCGAAUCAGCAUGUCGCGGUGAAUACGUUCUCGGGCCUUGUACACACCGCCCGUCAAACCAUGGGAGUUGGUAAUGCCCGAAGCCGGUGGCAUAACCUUUCGAGGAGUGAGCCGUCGAAGGCAGGACCGAUGACUGGGGUUAAGUCGUAACAAGGUAUCCCUACGGGAACGUGGGGAUG
rnacentral:rRNA from 1 species